ACCUUAAUUGCCGAAGCAACAACUUGUAUGAUCAAAACCAAAAAAACAAACCAAAUAAUGAAUCGAAAUAAAAACAUUAAUUAUGCCAUUCUAAGAAUAUAGUUAUCUGUUUUCGAUUUACGUUGUUUGUUACUCGUUCCAAAGACGCAUGUUUUAUACAAUAAUACUAAUUAAAUAAACAUCUAACUGCUUAUCAUAAAGAUAAAAAUAAAUAGAAUUCGCUGGCAGUCGGAUUCUGCAGUAUAAAAGCAGCGAUAGAUGUGACAAUUUAAUUGUCUCUUUUCGGAAGUGAAACCUAUUCGGUGGUAACUAGUGAUCAGUAUUAAAAAUGUUUUCAAAAAUAUCUUCACUUAUUUUACUCCUACUUAUUGUUGCAGUCGUUGUGACAGUGUCAGCUGAUGAUGGUUAUAAACAUCAUCGUGAAAAGCGUGCCUAUUGCACUGGAUUCUUAUGUGAACGCUAUUAUUGUGACCAAUGUUGCUACAAUCGAAAGCCCUUUGCACAAAAUGGAGUUCCCUGCAUAGACUGGCUGAGGUCACAAUGUUGUUAAUUCUACCAUAUGUAGUAAAACACCAAAUCGAUUAUAUUUCGUUUUAUGUGCAUGGUGUGCGUACAUAAUACGUCAG